rnacentral:sRNA from 1 species
GCUGGGUGCAGUAGCUUACACCUGUAAUCCCAGCACUUUGGGAGGCCGAGGCAGAUGGAUUGCUUGAGGUCAGGAGUUUGAGACCAGCCUGGCCGACAUGGUGAAACCCCAUCUCUACUAAAAAUACAAAAAUUAGCUGGACUUGGUGGCAGGCGCCUGUAAUCCCAGCUACUCAGGAGGCUGAGGCAGGAGAAUCACUUGAACCUGGGUGGUGGAGGUUGCAGUGAGCCAAGAUGGCGCCACUGCACUCAAGCCUGGGCAACACAGUGAGACUCUGUCUCA